UAGAGAGAAAUGGAGAGACAUGUUCCCUCCAAUUUUCUCCAAAACAAACCCCUUAAUGAAUUUUAGCUAUAAACUCAUAUUUAUACCUUAAUUCAUUGGAGUGGCAAACUUGUAAAUAAGUCCAAGUUCACUACCCUUCUCUAAAUGGCCGGCCCUAGGGUUUUGUUUGGGCUUUUGGGCCUUUGUGAAUUAAGUUGUCAUACAACUUAAGUCAAUGGGCUUGACGUUCGAAGCCCAUUGGGCCUUAAGGUCCAAAACUAUCCCCGAGGUCUUUAACGAACUUAUUCGUUUGAUUAAUUAACAUAUUAAUUAAUCCUUGCCAUAAAUAAUUAAACCAUUUAAUUAUUCUUACUCAUCUCCAUUGUUUCUUCAAUCUUCACCUUACACGGUGUACGAUCCAUUAGGUUCCUUUUAGCGAGGCAGUGGGCGAUUAAAACCAUUUUACAUCGAUUGUGAAUUGAAACUUACUUUCAAUUCUCCCUUUAGUGAUUACACACAUUUAGGGCUUCCACAAACCAUGAGUGACACCUAGCAGCAUAUCAUGGUUACCCAAGCUAAUCAGAAGAGG
rnacentral:lncRNA from 1 species